CAACCCUCCCGCGCAGGCCAUAAGAGGCAAAUGAACCUUUGUUGGUUGGCGGGAAAUCGAGACCCUGGCAAGGGGGCUUCUCCCUUGGAGAAGCCUGAGAACUGCCAGGUCCGCGGCCGUUAACCCGCCUCUAGGGACGGCCGCACUGCGCAUGUCUGAAAGGGAACUAGAAAGGGAGGAGCGAGAGAGGGUGGGGCUGAGGAGGAGGCUGUGUGAGAAAAGGGGCGGGGCGCGCCCAAAGUCUGGCGGAAGAGCGUUACCCUGGCAACCCUCCCGCGGAGGCCGAGAGAGGCCACCGGCCCUUUGUUGAUCUGCGAGAAAUCAAACUACGAACACGACAAGCAUUAGCCUGCAGCUCGAGGAGACAAGGAAUAAAUCCAACUUGAUCAUAACAUCCAACUGUGUUGCCCAGGCUAGUCUCAAACUCCUGGAUUCAAGAGCCCCUCUCCUCUCAGCCUACGAAAGUGCUGGGAUUAAAGUCCUGAACUGACAGCCACAAGUGGCACCUGAACAGGGACUUGAACAAAGAAGGUCUGCUGGAGCAGAAAAAGUGAAACUGACCAGAUGAAUGAGAAACCCUGGGAUGAGUCUGCCUGCAGAGGAUAUAAGGAGAUGGAUAAACCGUGUGAGUGCCCUCAAGUUGUGUGCGACCAUGGAAUGGGAGACUGGAGGGAUACAUGGAUCCCAACUACAGGCCCAGCUCCUCCAGUAUGAGCCAUGAGCCAGUUGAAUCUGAAUGUGAAGAUGGAAUGAAGACCGACGAGAGUCACACUGACGUCAACCCUCAUAACAUGGGGUCAGAUCAAGAAAACCACACCAGAAGCUGAGAAACUGGUGUAGUGCCAGGGUCAGGCAAAAACCCCUGACUCCAUGUUUAUGGCCAUGCUAGCUGUAAUAUCCUGUGCAGUAUGAUUUUUCUGUGCAGAAGCAAAAACAUAUUGGGCAUAUUUUCCUAACCCACCGGUAGUGUGAUCAUACUCUGAAGCAGCACUCCUCCUGAGAUAUAUCAUGAUCAAGGAGCAUCAGUACCAGGACCUCUAACUCCCCCUGACACAGAGCAAUUAGACUCUCAUAACAAUGGUAUCAAUUAUACCACUCCAUUGGAGGGACUUCCUUUAUGUGUCACCCAGGAUACAUUGCUCAACUGCAGUUGCCUUGCAGUUUGAUCCCAAGCAUGGUUGAGUUACCAUUAAAAAAUUAUGUACCUAUUAGACCUUAGCUUUAUUAAUAUUACUUGUGUAGUUACUAAUCACUCCUGGCCCCAUCACCCAAAUUGUACUGAUUAUACAGAAUGGGCUCCCUUUGAUAAUUCUCACCCCCCUCCUUGGGCCCACUGUCUUGGCCCCUUAGCUAGACAAUAGUCCAUGUUAAUGGGAGACAUUAUUGACUGGGGUCCCUGUGGUCAUUAAGAUGGGAGAGAUGAGAAUCAGACCACAUGGCAUAAACUUCACUGGCACUGGUGGCGAAACUUUAACAUCUCUUCACUUCAACACACUGGGAUUCAAUCCCAAUCUGCCAUGCAACUUGCUUGGCAUGGAACGGGCUUUAGCCCACCUUUGCCUCAAUGGCAUUAUCAAGGAAAGAGAGGUCCAAUUCAGGAGUCUAUGUGGAAGGCAGCACUCCCAUAUAUGAAUGGCAGCAUUUGGGUUGGGACACUAUCCAAUAAUAGUAAUAGUGCUCAAUACAGUUUAAUGUUACCUUUGUAAAAAAUGUUUGAAAUUUGUGUUUUUAAUCCCUAUGUUUUUCUAGCAGCAAAAAAGGACCAACUCCAGGUAAACAAUGCCCAAUUGAAUUGUGAUUCCUGUCAACUCUAUCAUUGCCUUAAUCAUAGCACAAUACAAACACACAGCAUAUCCACCCUAAUAAUUCUAGGUCGCAUUCCUGGAUUAUGGAUUCCUGUAAAUCUAUCUGAGCCUUGGGCAGCCACCCCCACUUUACAUUUUGUAAAACUUCUUACUCAGCUUACUCAUGGCACUCGUAGAGCCUUAGGCAUGAUAAUUUUUACUAUAGUCUCCUUAAUUACAUUAAUACCCUCUGUUGUGGUGUCCUCAGUAGCACUGGACAGCUCCACUCAAACAGCUCAAUAUGCAGAAAAUUGGAUGCAUACAGCUGACCAGGCAUGGAUGUUUCAAAAUAAAACUAACACUGAGAUACAAACAGAAGUGGCAAUGUUAAAGACUACUGUUCUGUGGCUAG
rnacentral:lncRNA from 1 species